AGUUUCCAGUCUCCUGCGGCCGUAUUUCGGCGGCCCCGUUAAAAGCACAACAGUGGAGUACUCUUCCUCUAGCUCGGCAACUGUCCUAUGUAGAAAGGGCAAUCAGUUCCAAGCACUGUAUGAAGACUUCUAAUGUGGUGGAUUAAGGGCCAGCUAUCCAAGCCCAGCCAGGGGGUCCUUGUAGCUGUUAUCCUUGCGAUUGCCAAUUUCCUCGUUGACUUUGCCUAUGGACAGUCCUCAGUAGCUAUUCAAGCUAUCGAUCUUCCUGAAGCCUUUGGAUGGAGAGAAACAGAUCCAGAUGGAGUUACUUUGGAACGUUCGCAAACGUUUUCUUUGAAACUCCCAGAUUAUUUUACCCAAAAUGACACCAGCAGAGAAUUUUCACUUCUUUUUACGUUAAAUUCGAAACUAAUCAAUUCCUUUAACGUAAGCGUUAAAUCUGAAUCGGCUAAUUCUUCUGAAACCUUAUUUAGUCUUCUGCUUAGUAAAGGACAAGUUACGUUCCAAAAAGGAGAAAAUAUUCUUGGAAUACACAAACCGGAUUACGUCUUUGAAGAAUGGCAAAAAUUUGUUAUCAUCUAUCGAGGUCUUGAGCUUCUUCUCCAUGACUGCAGGACAGUACAAAGAAUACCAUUUCCUGAAAGGUCAUCGGACUUGCCUCCAUGGGAUAGAAUCGCUGUGACUGUAACACCAAACUUACCUACGAGAGAGGAUGUCAGGGAAAACAUUUGCGAGCUAACCUUGAUGAUUGGAUCUGAUGGAGUUUCUNAACACUGUGCUAAAACAUAUCCAAUAUGCCCUAAAGGACCAGAUAUUAUCCUGCCAACCCCUAGAAUUAUACCAACAGAUCCCCGCCCCACUCGCAACAUUAUCAACGAGAAAGGACCUUCUGGCAUAAGGGGACCAAGAGGAGAUCCUGGUCGACCUGGUGAACGUGGGUGGCCUGGGCAUGUGGGUCAUAUAGGGCCUAAAGGCGAAAAGGGGUUUGAAGGAGCCAAAGGAGAGAAGGCUGAAUCAGGACCUAGAGGAACUCGCGGACCCCCCGGCCCACCAGGUGAGAUGGGACCAAAGGGACUCCAAGGACACACUGGUUAUGCCGGACAUCAGGGUCUGCAAGGUAAAAAAGGAAUCCGCGGAAUAAUGGGUGAACAGGGUAACCCUGGAAUCAUUGGCCCACAAGGCUUACAAGGCAUUGAAGGACCUCAGGGCAUCCCUGGACAGAUGGGAUUUCAAGGAAAACAAGGCGAGAAGGGAUUUUAUGGUGAUUCUGGACCCAUGGGUCUAACUGGCAGCCCUGGAAAGCUUGGAGCCCAAGGACCACCAGGCCCAGCAGGUGUAAUCGGCCAUAGGGGUGACCGUGGUCCUAGAGGAAAAGCAGGAGAAAUAGGACUAAGAGGAGUUACGGGUCCUACUGGCAGCUUAGGAUUGAUGGGCGUUAAGGGACAGAAGGGAGAGCCUGGACGAAAGGGAGUGAAAGGAGAGCAGGGCAACAAAGGAAAAAUGGGCCUAUCAGGAACCAUGGGCGAGAAAGGAAGACUGGGACGGCGUGGACCAAGAGGUGUGGAUGGAGCAAAUGGUCCAAGAGGCGAUCCAGGAAUUGCUGGUAAAAAGGGAAUUACUGGCCAGCCUGGAAUACCAGGGUUUCCUGGUAAAAAUGGUGCAAAGGGUCCCACUGGCAUGGACGGGAAAUCUGGCAUCGUUGGAUUAAAAGGACCAAUGGGUGAGACUGGAAAUCCUGGCAACAAGGGUCCUGAAGGCGGCGUGGGCCGAGCAGGACUUAAAGGUGACACGGGAUAUCCUGGUGUUGAUGGUUUUAAGGGUAGAGCUGGGAACCAAGGGGAACAAGGAAAUCAAGGCGGAAUGGGACCACCUGGUAAAAAAGGAGCCCUCGGUGACCCAGGGACGCAUGGCGUGCCUGGUCCUCGUGGUCUUAAUGGUACUCAAGGUUUGAUUGGUGAUCCAGGGGCUGCCGGCCUUGCUGGGAAACCUGGCGACCAAGGUACCAAUGGAAAAAUAGGAAUAAUGGGACCACCUGGAUUUGAAGGGGUUCUUGGAACGGCUGGAGAAACGGGAGUUGUAGGACCCAGAGGCAGAAAAGGAGAGCGAGGAGAGAAGGGCGAGGAAGGCAAGCAGGGUUUGAUUGGACGAACCGGUGAAGCAGGGUUUCCUGGACGGGAGGGUGACGUAGGAGAGGAAGGUUUGGCUGGAGAAACUGGCCCAGUGGGUAUCAUCGGUAGAAGAGGAGACCCUGGAGAUAUGGGAACCGAUGGAAAGCCGGGUCCAGCUGGUUCGACUGGUCCUAUUGGCUUCAAUGGCACCCUAGGACUAGAGGGUUUUAUUGGAGCGGUAGGCGAAGAUGGUAUGCCUGGAAAACCUGGACCGAAGGGUGACAUCGGAUCAAAAGGUCGCGUUGGCUUCACGGGAGAGAUAGGAGAUCAGGGUCCAGAUGGCCCAAAAGGUGAACCUGGAGAAAUUGGCAUGAAAGGUUUAACGGGUGUGAUUGGAGCAAUCGGUCCAAUGGGAAUGGCAGGCGAGCUGGGAGAGAAGGGUGUAAUGGGUUUUCCAGGAACUAUUGGAUUUUCAGGACAUUCAGGCGUCGAGGGUAUCAUGGGUCCCCGAGGCAAGCCUGGUCCACUGGGAAAGAUGGGAGCAAAGGGACCGGCAGGUGGAGUAGGACUGUCUGGCGUCAAAGGUCUGAAAGGCGUCCCUGGUCUAGUAGGAUUCCGCGGACACCCUGGUCCUCCAGGAGAUAUUGGCAGUGCAGGUGAACAACAGGGGGCGCCAGGGAAAACAGGAUCCACUGGACGUCCCGGAAAGAAGGGGCCAAAAGGAGACAAAGGAUCGAUUGGUACUUUCGGAAAAAUUGGCAUCAAGGGAAUCGUGGGGGACGAAGGGAGUAUCGGGAACCGAGGUUCUGUUGGAAAAUCGGGCGAAGACAGAGAAAUAGGCCCCAAAGGAGAAAGAGGCUCUGUCGGAGGUCAGGGUAAACCUGGAAUACCGGGUCCCAUCGGAGACAUAGGCUUACGUGGACCACAGGGUAAACCUGGUUCCAAAGGCUCACACGGUGCCUAUGGAGCAUUUGGUCUCAAGGGCGAAAUUGGCGAGCCUGGUCUAUUGGGGAAGCCUGGAAAAAUCGGCGCCGAGGGGUUAGCUGGAGCGAAAGGAGAAAAAGGCGAUCCUGGGAAACUUGGAGUCCAGGGCAAAAAAGGUGAGGUGGGUCUUAAAGGAAAUAAGGGCUCAAAUGGUGAUCAGGGCUCAAGAGGGGAUCCAGGGCCAAAAGGAAAAGGAGGAGGUGUAGGACCCAAGGGCAAACUCGGUGAUCGAGGGCCCAUAGGGAAAGUAGGCGCUCAAGGUCCUAGGGGAAUUAAAGGUCCGUUAGGAGAUCCUGGUCCAAAUGGAGUCCCUGGUAUUUUGGGACCUAAAGGUUUCCUUGGUGAUCCUGGAGAAGGAGGCACGCCUGGCAAACAGGGUGCUAGAGGCUAUUCUGGACAACCAGGCAAUCCUGGCCUCAAAGGAAAGCGGGGAGAUCAUGGUAAAAGGGGCAAGGAAGGCGGAAAAGGAAGAAAAGGUCCACCAGGCAGCAGUGGAGGUAGGGGCAAGCGUGGUGCGCCUGGAAGGCCAGGUACCGAGGGUUUCCAUGGAGAGCAAGGAGCCAAAGGCAUAAUGGGUGAUGAAGGUGUCAAGGGCCCAAGGGGAUCCCCGGGUUCUAGAGGACGACCGGGCAGACCUGGACCAAUGCGAGGAUUACAUCAACUUAGUGCGCAUCUAAAUCAGUUCAUCCCAGGUAACAUAAAAAGCUUCUACAUGUCAGAAGUGGAUGAUACAAAGUUUCCCCUGGGUACCCGCCACAAUCCUGCUUUGACCUGUAAAGAACUGGGGAAAGUAACAGGCAUAAAAGAUGGUAAGGACAGGGAGGUUUUGGAUUGAUCCUAACUUGGGUUGUCCUGGUGAUGCAGUCAAAGUACUUUGCAAGUUUAAAACCCGAGAAACGUGCAUUAUGCCCCAUUAUAAUAUGAUUCCAAAGCAAAAGUGGUAUAACAGCACUACUCCAGGAUGGCGAAAAUUCUCAGAUCUUGCAAAAGGAUCGAAG
rnacentral:misc_RNA from 1 species